AGAGUUUGAUCCUGGCUCAGGAUGAACGCUGGCGGCGUGCCUAAUACAUGCAAGUCGAACGCUUCACUUCGGUGAAGAGUGGCGAACGGGUGAGUAAUACAUAAGUAACCUGGCAUCUACAGGGGGAUAACUGAUGGAAACGUCAGCCAAGACCGCAUAGGUGUAGAGAUCGCAUGAACUCUAUAUGAAAAGUGCUACGGGACUGGUAGAUGAUGGACUUAUGGCGCAUUAGCUGGUUGGUAGGGUAACGGCCUACCAAGGCGACGAUGCGUAGCCGACCUGAGAGGGUGACCGGCCACACUGGGACUGAGACACGGCCCAGACUCCUACGGGAGGCAGCAGUAGGGAAUUUUCGGCAAUGGGGGAAACCCUGACCGAGCAACGCCGCGUGAAGGAAGAAGGUCUUCGGAUCGUAAAGCUCUGUUGUAAGUCAAGAACGAGUGUGAGAGUGGAAAGUUCACACUGUGACGGUAGCUUACCAGAAAGGGACGGCUAACUACGUGCCAGCAGCCGCGGUAAUACGUAGGUCCCGAGCGUUGUCCGGAUUUAUUGGGCGUAAAGCGAGCGCAGGCGGUUAGAUAAGUCUGAAGUUAAAGGCUGUGGCUUAACCAUAGUACGCUUUGGAAACUGUUUAACUUGAGUGCAGAAGGGGAGAGUGGAAUUCCAUGUGUAGCGGUGAAAUGCGUAGAUAUUAGGAGGAACACCGGUGGCGAAAGCGGCUCUCUGGUCUGUAACUGACGCUGAGGCUCGAAAGCGUGGGGAGCGAACAGGAUUAGAUACCCUGGUAGUCCACGCCGUAAACGAUGAGUGCUAGGUGUUGGAUCCUUUCCGGGAUUCAGUGCCGCAGCUAACGCAUUAAGCACUACGCCUGGGUCUUUCUCCUAGCCACAAGC
rnacentral:rRNA from 1 species